rnacentral:tmRNA from 1 species
GGGAGCGUCUAAUAAUCGACAGUAAUAUUCUUAUAAAAAUUGCAAACCGUCCUAUUUAUAUUACGACGUAAAAAUGAUAUAAAUAAAUGACAAAUGCCAAAACAUUUGUAAGCAAUGUGAAGACUGCUUUUGCUAACGCAUUCGCACCUUCCUUUGCGCCAGUAGUCGCCUAAAACCGACUACCACUCUCCUCUCGAUGUCUGGUAGAGAGAUCAGGGUGUCAUUACCAGACUAGGAACUAGUUUUAUCCUUUUAAUUAUUUCCAAAACCAUAUAAAGGAUAGGGUAAAUUGAUUUUGCUAACUUUAUACAAUUUUCCCAAAACUUCAAAAGUUAGCUAAGUUUGUAGAUGUUUUUAUAACAUAGUGCUGGACAGGGGUGCGACUCCCCUCGCUUCCACCA